rnacentral:rRNA from 1 species
UACGGAGGAUGCAAGCGUUAUCCGGAAUGUUUGGGUGUUAAGGGUCCGCUGGCUGCAAUGUGUGUCUGCUGUCAAAGAAUGAGGCUUAACCUCAUCAAGGCAGUGGAAACUACAUAGCUAGAGUACGGUCGGGGUAGAAGGAAUUCCUGGUGUAGCGGUGAAAUGCGUAGAGAUCAGGAAGAACACCGGUGGCGAAAGCGGUCUGCUAGACCUGUACUGACACUGAGGGACGAAAGCUAGGGGAGCGAAUGGG